CGUACGAGGAACGACUCAAGCGACUCAAUCUCUUUACAUUGGAGAAAAGACGCCUACGAGGGGAUAUGAUUCAAGUCUUCAAGUAUCUAAAAAAGUUCAAUAACGUCGAUUACUCCAAAUUCUUUGAACUGCAAACCAACUCAAGAACUAGAAAUAACGGUUUACCCAUUCAGUCGAGUCGAUGUAACACAGACAUUGGAAGGAGUUUCUUUUCAAACCGAGUCAUCCGCCACUGGAACAAUCUUCCCUCAGAAGUAGUGAAUGCGAAUACCAUCAACUCCUUCAAAUAUGGAAUCGACCGUCAUUUCGCUGCGUCGGGAGUAAACUGAGUAACGAGGGGCUUCCAUCUGCUCCUCAAUAUCGAGGUGCUUUCAUCUGCUCCUCAAUAUCGAGGUGCUUUCAUCUGCUCACCAAGCCCCAAGUGGCGGUCGAGCAGAUUAAAUCACCCAAGCGGGCGACCUCGUAAUGAGCCAAUAGGCUUUCUGUUGCCUGCAUUUCCAUGUUUCCAUGUUUCCAUGUUUCCAUUUCCUUCAUCUUUCUCCUUCAUCUCUUCGUUAUCAUUCCUUCUCUACUUCUUUUUUCCCCUUCUUCUUCCUUCUCAUCCCAUUACUUCAUUCCUUCUACUUGUACCCAUCAAUUACACCUCCUUUUCUUUCAUCUAUCUCCUUCUCUUCGUUAUCAUUCCUUCUCCACAUCUUUCCUCCUUCUUCCUGCCUUCAGUUGUUCCCUUUCUCCUUCGGUUUUUCCUUCCACUAAUCACACUCCUCCUCCUCCUCUUCGCCAGGCAUCAGCAGCUCCCCGGAGGACCUCGCAGCUCGGCGCCAACUCUUCGGCAGCAACGUGAUCGAGCCCAAGCCGCCGCCCUCCUUCCUGCGCCUGGUCUUCGAGGCGCUCAAGGACACCACGCUCAUCAUCCUCCAGGUCGCGGCCGUCAUCAGCAUCGUCCUCAGCUUCUUCCAUUCCGAGGGGCAGGCGGAUGCCGGUGAUGAGGGAGAAGUGCUACCCAACAAAGAGGAGGAGGCGGAGCAGGCGCCGCCGUGGAUCGAGGGCGGGGCCAUCCUUAUUGCCGUGGCCGUGGUGGUCCUUGUCACCGCCUUCAACGACUACACCAAGGAGAGGCAAUUCCGGGGGCUGCAGACGAGGAUCGAGAACACGCACGCCUUCUCGGUGGUGAGGUCCCGCAGCAUGAUCCAGGUCCCCAUCUCAGACAUCCUGGUGGGGGACAUCUGCCAG